rnacentral:rRNA from 1 species
AUUAGAGUUUGAUUAUGGCUCAGAUUCAAUGCUGGCGGCAGGCCUAACACAUGCAAGUCGAACGGUAACAGGAAGAAGCUUGCUUCUUUGCUGACGAGUGGCGGACGGGUGAGUAAUGUCUGGGAAACUGCCUGAUGGAGGGGGAUAACUACUGGAAACGGUAGCUAAUACCGCAUAACGUCGCAAGACCAAAGAGGGGGACCUUCGGGCCUCUUGCCAUCGGAUGUGCCCAGAUGGGAUUAGCUAGUAGGUGGGGUAACGGCUCACCUAGGCGACGAUCCCUAGCUGGUCUGAGAGGAUGACCAGCCACACUGGAACUGAGACACGGUCCAGACUCCUACGGGAGGCAGCAGUGGGGAAUAUUGCACAAUGGGCGCAAGCCUGAUGCAGCCAUGCCGCGUGUAUGAAGAAGGCCUUCGGGUUGUAAAGUACUUUCAGCGGGGAGGAAGGGAGUAAAGUUAAUACCUUUGCUCAUUGACGUUACCCGCAGAAGAAGCACCGGCUAACUCCGUGCCAGCAGCCGCGGUAAUACGGAGGGUGCAAGCGUUAAUCGGAAUUACUGGGCGUAAAGCGCACGCAGGCGGUUUGUUAAGUCAGAUGUGAAAUCCCCGGGCUCAACCUGGGAACUGCAUCUGAUACUGGCAAGCUUGAGUCUCGUAAAGGGGGGUAAAAUUCCCGGUGUUAACGGUGAAUGCCAUAAAAUCUGGAGGAAUACCGGUGGCCAAGGCGGCCCCCUGGAACCAGACUGACCCCCAUGUGCUAAACCUUGGGGACCCUCCAGGAUUACCAUCCCUGUUAAC